CACACUGUCACCCGGGCUGGAGUGCAGUAGUGUGAUCUUGGUUCACUGCAACCACCGCCUCCCAGGUUCAAGCAAUUCUUCUGCCUCAGCUUCCUGAGUAGCUGGGAUUACAGGAGCCAGCCACCACACCCAGUUGAAAUUCUAACCCCCAAAAAAACUUACCACGGGAGGAGACAAGAUGGCCGAAUAGGAACAGCUCCGGUCUACAGCUCCCAGCGUGAGCGACGCAGAAGACUGGUGAUUUCUGCAUUUCCAUCUGAGGUACCGGGUUCAUCUCACUAGGGAGUGCCAGACAGUGGGCGCAGGUCAGUGCGUGCGCGCACCAUGCGCGAGUCGAAGCAGGGCGAGGCAUUGCCUCACUCGGGA
rnacentral:lncRNA from 10 species